UUCAGUUUUACCUAGAAACACACCACAACACUGAGCAGUGGGUUUUCAUGUAUGGCCCUCAAAGUUGUGAAAAUAUCCCAUCCCAUUAGCGCCAUUGUUCCAGCCCUUUCCCUCUUUCUGCCAGCCACUUGGAGCUCUGCUUUGAUUACAGUGGGAAUGAAAUUUCAGUCUGGACUAAAAAUGCAAGUCUACGUAUGUAAUUAACCAAAGGUGCCUCAGAAGGAGAGGAAGGUGCAGCCCCUCCCCUGCAGGUCCAGAAGAGGAGCCUCUGUGUUCAACUAGUUCCGCGCUUCUCCAGUGAGGGGAACAUCUCAAGAAGAGCUGUCUCACUUUCCUGUGCUCGGGAGACUGGUGUGAAACAUUCAUGGCUUUCCAACUUACUCUAUCCUUGAAAGUAUCACUUGAACAAACAGGUCUUGUAAAAAUUCCCAAGACUGUGGAAAUCAUUGUCAUGUCCUGUGAAGAUAACCUUCAAAGACGGCUAGGAGUCUGGCUUGGUGUUCUCAUGGACCAUUGCUGUCUGGCAGGAGUGUUGCAAAUGGGACCUUCAAGUAUCCACACUCCCUAGAUUCUCUUCUCUCAUCAGGAUGGAAAUACAUGAUGAAAAUUUUGAAUAGAUGUAGUAUAACUACACAAAGACGAAAAUAAAGGUAAAAUAGCUGAUGAUAUAAAUGA